rnacentral:rRNA from 1 species
CUUUCCCCUCGUUCGGGGGGAAUGAGGGAGGCACAGAGAAGAGAGGGCAGCCGGCAGCAAGUUCAGGGUUCAGCGUUGAGUCUAGAGGGGCAGGAGGGUUGGGGGCGCUCGAUGGUGUUGUGACGUGUAGCGGAGACUAGAAGGGGGCCUAGAGAUCUAGAGAGCGCGUGGGUGGGGGCCGGGCGAUGCAGCGGCGGCGGCGUGCGACACCGGUGCCGCUCUACGAGGCGGAGUCCCGCAAGGCCGGCUGCUCGCUGUUCCACCACUUCUAGGUCGAGGUGGGGUGAGUGGGGACCGAGCAGUGGCGGCUGCGGUUACUGGCGCAGAGCCAGACCCUGACCCUCGUGGCGGUCCACUAGAUACUCGACUUCCGCCCACCGUAGCUACUUGCUUCCGACCAACCACACUUCGAACUCUUCGAGCGGCUCCCUCUUUGACUAAGAUUUCCUUUCGGGUGACUCCGUUAAGCUCCGCCUUCACAUUUCGUCCAAAGAAAAAUACUACUGCUACAUGCGAAAACCGUUGUAACCGCGUUAACGAGACGACGAUCGCUCCGAGGUUGACGUCAAUUAGUUGUUAGCAGGCGAAAGUCACGUGGACGUGGUAGAUGUUCUCCUUCUGUAAAACAACAAUAAACAACACUCUUGUUUCGUUAUAAAAACCUGAAUCACUGAUACGCACCGGCGCUACAAGGAUUCGUUCUCGAACUGUUGUUCAGUGAAAAUACAUACCUCAAGGAGAGGUCCAGUAGAAGAUCACUACGGGGAGAACAACGUAAGCCCCGUAGGCUACCACACUAAUCUCAAGAGAGUUACUACUGUACCUUCGAACACUCUUCCAUAUGACCACCUGUAUUUCCUCGUUAUAGAACGAAUUACUGUAAGUACAGACGUCGACCGCUCCAUGUAAAUCAAAGACCACCAUCACUACCGGACGACCAUAAUACCUCGCGACUAGUAUAGGUACUGAGAGCCCUUGAACAUGGAUUCUAAUCAAACUUCCGAGUGCUACCUCCCCACCAACGCCAACUUGAAAGUUCCCAUUACCCUUCACGAGGUGUCGAGUAAUGUUAUCCCCGACUAUUUUGAAAUCGGUAUACCCUAUGGCAAUGUAAGUUCCUUUAUUCCGCGUAAUUUGGUCAUGGAUUUGAACGGACGGUAUCACAACGUAGAACCACGGUGGGAGCACGUGGUUUGGAACUAUAAGACUGAACACAGUUCCUGAGGGUAUAAACCCGGUAUCUUGUAGGCUGAAUAAGACGAAAUUGUUCUGGUGAGACGCUUAACAGGAGCGAACAAGGAGGUGUUCGGGAACGUGUCGUAUUCUUUGACUCCCAAAUGACGUACCACCGUGUAGGGAACGUUGGUGUAGAACAACGAUGACCUUGUUUGUAGCCAUAAUAAAAUUCACUCAAGCUAGGUUCUCGUGAUGGCCGACAACGAGGAGAUGGUCGUGACUGUCUUUCGUUCCUUGUGAGACGACAAAUGUAACAACUUUCUCUUGAAUUCAACGACUUAAAGGUUAACAGUUUGUGUCGUUUGGGCAGGGAACCUUCACGUAGACUUCGUCCUUCUAGUUCCUCACUUAGAUAUCUAGUCGACUAUCAAUUCGUUUCGUUCUUCGUAUAGUCGUGUGGGCGAGGAGUACUAAGUAUAAGUUAAGAAAGUCGAUCGUCAAGACCUUUCAUACAACGUCAACAUACCGGUCUGUAAGGAAGUAAGCAACACAUGUUUCGAUCACUAACCAGUCAACAACUAAGUCCGUGCCCUUUUGAAAAACGUACCCUGUCGACAGCGCUGUCUAUACGAAACCAGCUCUCACGUAACCGAGGUUCCUACGGUGAAUAACACUUUCCACCAAGGAGAUUUUUCCGUUUUCUUCGUCGACGUCGUCGUCGAGUUCGUCGUCGACGUCGACGAUCACGACGAAGAAGUCGGUGUCAUGUUCAAGCGUAAAACAAUCUACUACCUUGUCGAGUACAAGACGUCUCUAGGUAACUGCCGGCAUCACUUGGCCAGCAACCGAACGUACCACCACGAGACGAACCACAAUGUAUGGCUUGUAGAGCAUCUUAGUCAGGAAACUGCCGGUGACGAUAUAGUUGACAAGUUAGUUACGGGGAUAGUCCGAAGCCUCCUUCACCUAGUAGAAAACGAAGCCUACUGGGUAAAAGGAGGUCUCUUCCCGGCGGGGUUUUAAAGGUCAAUAUGUCGACCCUCUGGAUAGUCGGGCAUUCGCCGAAUGAACGUGUUGGACUUACCUGACACACCCUGGUUUGACAACUUAUAACACGUAAACGAAUAGUCGUCAUGUAACAUUAAAGAAGGGACGCUGGAGUCAAAUCCAUAGAACCCCUACAAAGUUAAGGAAGACGAUGACCACGACAAACCGUAGCAUCUGUCAACAAACACCGAUGUGGUUGUUGGUAGCUCACGCAGAAACAACUACGACCUCAACGACGGUAACUAUAACUCUGUUUUUUCUCCUUUCUUCUUUACUUUCGUUCUCUUCGAGUCCCAGCUCGUCAACGUCUGGUACCUCUAAACCGAGAAUAGUGUCAGCUUCCAGGGGUCCAGUGACGUUCACUUUUUUAUAGUAAUUCUGGAGGAUACAACGUCCAACAAGCAAAUCGGAGGAAAGUCGUACGAGGCAGCUAUGGUGGCAAAUAUCACGGCUUCGUUAGGUUUAAUUUACCCCUACUAAGUCAUAAGGACUUUCUUAACCUACUAUCUUCUAUAAGACUUCACCGACAACGACCUCCUCCCCAUAGCCAACGUCAUUGAGCGAAAGGAGGACUCGUCUUUUCUGGAUAACCCGGUGAACAGGACCAACCACAGUCUCUGCCUCAAGACACCGAGCAACUGUCCAUAUACACACGUGUACGGAACAGAGAGUCGGUAGGGCCAUAAUCUACAGCCACGGAACGUCGUAUACCUCUAGGUCAAUCACGACAGUUUACCCGAUGAUCUGAACCGGCUCUCGUGGUACUACUGGAACGAGUUAAAUACGAACCUUACCCGAUACGAUGACUUCGUGAAGUAAAUGGACCUUAUAGGUUCUCCAACCUUAAGCUAGAACGUUACGUUUCGUUCCUGAACUUUUCUCGUGAACGUACAGAUGACUGUUACUCGUUAUCGGCUCUGCACCCUGUUCUUUGAUGACGAUGACUACAAUGCGUCUAAGAGUUAAAUCGUCAUCGAUUCGUCCGAUUCGUUCUUUCAGAACGUCUACGGCACGUCCCUUAUCACUUUAAACAGUUCCUCAAAAAACUGGAAUAACUACGGCGUCUACGGUGGCCGGUCCGACUUUAACGAGCACUUCAAGACUUCUCUAAUCGACGCCGUCGAAGACAUUUCCCUCGAGACGUACCCGUUUGGAAUGCUCCAGACCGUGAUGCAGAACGUUUGGUACCCCUUGAAUGAUCUGAUAGCCCAAAUCACCGGUUAAACUAAUGUCGACCGGUACCUGCACUUCGUCGUAAACGUCGACGUCAAGACCCACUAUUACGGGAGUACCUCUUUCGUACCGUUCUGUGUCCUUACGACCGACUCCGGCAAAAUGUACGAGUUCGGGUACCAGCAGGUAGCAAUUCCUCGAGUCAGUAUUGUACCUUGUUCUACGAUGUUUUCCUCGACCUAGUGUGCGGUUGGCAUUUUUGGCUACGACGUCGUCGUAAGAACCGAAGAGAACUCCUGGGCUUCGAGUGAUCAAACCCUCUUUGACUCUUUUUUGGUGGUUAACUUUAUGAAGGCGGACCUUACGGCGGAGAUAGACGUGGAGGGUAAUAAUAAUUUUUCCGACGACGUUUUGGACCCGAAGGAUUACGGCGUGUCUGGGGUUGACGUCCACGAGGGUACUUAGUUCCGUGGGGUUACCGAGUUCCAUGAGGGUACUUAGUGUCGUGGGGUUACCGGGUUCCAUGAGGGCACCGAGUUCCACGGGGGUACCGAGUUCGGGGAGGACGAGGCCGUGUUUCGUGGCUACUCCAUUUCGGUAGCCUCCGAUGUUGUCGAGGACUGUUACACCUCCGAUGUCGUCGAUGGUCGUUACGGCUUCGAUGACGUCGGGGACCAUGACGCCUUCGAUGUCUUCGAGGCCAAGGUCUGGGUUGUUCAUCGUCAGGACUGCGACGACUACGAGGUCGAGGUCGAGGACGAGGUCGUCGACUAAGGUCACCGUGACUACGUGAACGACAAUGAGGGUCACUAAGAUGUUUACUACGUGGAAGAUGGUUCCUUGGUCUCUGUGUUCUAUUUGGUGGAAGUUGUCUCCGCAGCGGUAGUGGAGGUGGGUACGAGUUUUCUGCUGCUCGUCAUACACUCAUCGGUACAUGUAGACGACAAGAGCAGUCCUUCUCUUGAUAUGGCGCUGACGUCGGCAUCGGGUUCGGAAAACACUAAACAGUAUAGUACAACAAACACUAAACAGCUCUACUGCCUUAACUUCAAAACAUUCUACUCAGUUAGCACAAACCUACGGUUUACGGCGUACAACUACACGGAACCUCAAGGACAGCACACUGGUCAAACAUAUACCAUGAGGGAGGUAAAGAAAAAAUGAAACACGUAGUGAAAAAACAAAAAACGCAAAGAGGGUAAAUCAGACGCGGAAUGUGUACACUUAGUACAUAACUAUACACACAGACUUCAAUAUACGUCUGAUUUUCCUACAAU